rnacentral:tRNA from 1 species
GCGCCCGUAGCUCAGAUGGAUAGAGCGCCAGCUUGCGGAGCUGGAGGUCGUACGUUCGAAUCGUGCCGGGCGCACCA